GAGAGCCGGAUGCGGUGACAAGCCGCACGUCCGGUUCGGGAGGGGGAGGUUGAUGCUCUUGAGUCAUCAAGACUUGGCCUCCUACCUCAC
rfam:Ktedonobacter sp. 13_2_20CM_53_11 13_2_20cm_scaffold_29949, whole genome shotgun sequence.